GGUGAGCUGGCUCAGCGGUUGAGAGCACUGACUGCUCUUUCCAGAGGUUCUGAGUUCAAUUCCCAGCAACCA
rnacentral:tRNA from 1 species